GAUGAACGCUGGCGGCGUGCUUAACACAUGCAAGUCGAACGAAAAGACGAGGAGUUUGUGCUUUUCUCGUUUGGGGAGGGGGGGAGUAAAACCUGUGGAACCCGCCCUUUAAUUUUGGAGAACAUUUGGGAAAUCGGGCUCAAAUCCGGGAUAAUCUAUUGAUCCGUGUGGUUGAUUGGAAAAAGUCGGUUUUGGGGUAUCUACUCGCUGCUUCUGCGCUGCAUUAGCUAGUUGGUACGUUCAAGGCUUACGAAGGCAAGGAGGCGUAGCCGACCUGCGGGGGUGAUCGGCGACACUGGAACUGAGACACGGUCCAGACUCCUACGGGAGGCAGCAGUAGGGAAUCGUCCGCAAUGGGCGAAAGCCUGACGGAGCAACGCCGCGUCAGUGAUGAAGGUCUUCGGAUCGUAAAACUCUGUUAUUAGGGAAGAACAAAUGUGUAAGUAACUAUGCACGUCUUGACGGUACCUAAUCAGAAAGCCACGGCUAACUACGUG
rnacentral:rRNA from 1 species